UCCAGUAGGGACCCAGUGGUGCCACAAAGUGCCCCAGUGGUGCCCCAGUGGUGCCACAAAGUGACCCAAUAGUGACCCAGUGGUGCUCCAGUGGUGCCACAAAGUGACCCCAGUGGUGCCACAAAGUGACCCAAUAGUGACCCAGCAGUGCCACAAAGUGACCCAGUAGUGCCCCAGUGGUGCCCCAGUGGUGCCACAAAGUGACCCAAUGGUGCCCCAAUGGUGCCACAAAGUGACCCAAUGGUGCCCCAGUGGUGCCACAAAGUGACCCAAUAGUGACCCAGUGGUGCCCCAGCGGUGCCACAAAGUGACCCAAUAGUGACCCAGUGGUGCUCCAGUGGUGCCACAAAGUGACCCAGGGGUGCCACAAAGUGACCCAAUAGUGACCCAGCGGUGCCACAAAGUGACCCAAUGGUGCCCCAAUGGUGCUCCAGUGGUGCCACAAAGUGACCCCAGUGGUGCCACAAAGUGACCCAAUGGUGCCCCAGUGGUGCCACAAAGUGACCCAAUAGUGCCCCAAUGGUGCCCCAGUGGUGCCACAAAGCGACCCAAUAGUGACCCAAUGGUGCCCCAGUGAUGCCACAAAGUGACCCAGUGGUGCCACAAAGUGACCCAAUAGUGACCCAGCGGUGCCACAAAGUGACCCAAUAGUGCCCCAGUGUUGCCCCAGUGGUGCCACAAAGUGACCCCAGUGGUGCCACAGUGCCCCAAUGGUGCCCCAGUGGUGCCACAAAGCGACCCAAUAGUGCCCCAAUGCGACCCAAUCGUGCCCCAGUGGUGCCCCAGUGGUGCCACAAAGUGACCCAAUGGUGCCACAAAGUGAGCCAAUAGUGCCCCAAUGGUGCCACAAAGCGACCCAAUAGUGACCCAAUGGUGCCCCAGUGAUGCCACAAAGUGACCCAGUGGUGGCACAAAGUGACCCAAUGGUGCCCCAAUGGUGCCACAAAGUGACCCAGUAGUGCCCCAAUGGUGCCACAAAGUGACCCAAAGGUGCCCCAGUGGUGGCACAAAGUGACCCAAUGGUGCCCCAAUGGUGCCACAAAGUGACCCAAUGGUGCCCCAGUGGUGGCACAAAGUGACCCAAUGGUGCCCCAGUGGUGCCACAAAGUGACCCAAAGGUGCCCCAGUGGUGCCACAGAGUGACCCAAAGGUGCCCCAAUGAUGCCACAAAGUGACCCAAAGGUGCCCCAGUGCUGCCACAAAGUGCCCCAAUAGUGCCCCAAUGGUGCCCCAACGGUGCCCCACUGGCGCCCCCCGGUGCCCCCGGUGC
rnacentral:lncRNA from 1 species